GACGAACGCUGGCGGCGUGCCUAAUACAUGCAAGUUGAGCGAUGAAGAUUGGUGCUUGCACCAAUUUGAAGAGCAGCGAACGGGUGAGUAACGCGUGGGGAAUCUGCCUUUGAGCGGGGGACAACAUUUGGAAACGAAUGCUAAUACCGCAUAACAACUUUAAACAUAAGUUUUAAGUUUGAAAGAUGCAAUUGCAUCACUCAAAGAUGAUCCCGCGUUGUAUUAGCUAGUUGGUGAGGUAAAGGCUCACCAAGGCGAUGAUACAUAGCCGACCUGAGAGGGUGAUCGGCAACAUUGGAACUGAGACACGGCCCAAACUCCUACGGGAGGCAGCAGUAGGGAAUCUUCGGCAAUGGACGAAAGUAUGACCGAGCAACGCCGCGUGAGUGAAGAAGGUGUUCGGAUCGUAAAACUCUGUUGGUAGGGAAGAACGUUGGUGAGAGUGGAAAGCUCAUCAAGUGACGGUAACUAACCAGAAAGGGACGGCUAACUACGU
rnacentral:rRNA from 1 species